GAACUGAAGAGUUUGAUCCUGGCUCAGAUUGAACGCUGGCGGCAUGCCUUACACAUGCAAGUCGAACGGCAGCAUAGGUGCUUGCACCUGAUGGCGAGUGGCGAA
rnacentral:rRNA from 1 species